UAAAACCCGAUGUGCCGAGAGGUGAAAUAUUUAUAGCCUGUAGAUGAGCUCGCGUCUGAUUAGCUAGUUGGUGGGGUAAAGGCCUACCAAGGCGACGAUCAGUAGCUGGUCUGAGAGGACGAUCAGCCACACUGGGACUGAGACACGGCCCAGACUCCUACGGGAGGCAUCAGUGGGGAAUUUUCCGCAAUGGGCGAGAGCCUGACGGAGCAACGCCGCGUGAGGGAGGAAGGCCUGUGGGUUGUAAACCUCUUUUCUCAGGGAAGAAGUUCUGACGGUACCUGAGGAAUCAGCAUCGGCUAACUCCGUGCCAGCAGCCGCGGUAAGACGGAGGAUGCAAGCGUUAUCCGGAAUUAUUGGGCGUAAAGCGUCCGUAGGCGGCCUAUAAAGUCUGCUGUCAAAGCUCACAGCUCAACUGUGAAUCGGCAGUGGAAACUCAUAGGCUAGAGAGUGGUAGGGGUAGAGGGAAUUCCUAGUGUAGCGGUGAAAUGCGUAGAUAUUAGGAAGAACACCAGUGGCGAAGGCGCUCUACUGGGCCAUUACUGACGCUGAUGGACGAAAGCUAGGGGAGCGAAAGGGAUUAGAUACCCCUGUAGUCCUAGCUGUAAACGAUGGACACUAGGUGUUGGCCGUAUCGACCCGGUCAGUAUCGAAGCAAACGCGUUAAGUGUCCCGCCUGGGGAGUACGCACGCAAGUGUGAAACUCAAAGGAAUUGACGGGGGCCCGCACAAGCGGUGGAGUAUGUGGUUUAAUUCGAUGCAACGCGAAGAACCUUACCAGGGAUUGACAUCCUACGAAUCUUCUUGAAAGGGAAGAGUGCCUUCGGGAGCGUAGAGACAGGUGGUGCAUGGCUGUCGUCAGCUCGUGUCGUGAGAUGUUGGGUUAAGUCCCGCAACGAGCGCAACCCUCGUCCUUAGUUGCCAUCAUUAAGUUGGGCACUUUAAGGAGACUGCCGGUGACAAACCGGAGGAAGGUGGGGAUGACGUCAAGUCAUCAUGCCCCUUACAUCCUGGGCUACACACGUACUACAAUGCAACGGACAAAGGGCAGCCAACUAGCGAUAGUGCGCUAAUCCCAUAAACCGUUGCUCAGUUCAGAUUGCAGGCUGCAACUCGCCUGCAUGAAGGCGGAAUCGCUAGUAAUCGCAGGUCAGCAUACUGCGGUGAAUACGUUCCCGGGCCUUGUACACACCGCUCGUCACACCAUGGAAGUUGGCCACGCCCGAAGUCGUUACCCCAACCUUAGGGAGGGGGACGCCGAAGGCAGGGCUGAUGACUGGGGUGAAGUCGUAACAAGGUAGCCGUACCGGAAGGUGUGGCUGGAUCACCUCCUUAGAAGGAGACCUACUAAGUUAAUACCUGAAAGCGAAUUGCGAAUAGGGUUUAGCUGUAGUCACCUAAGGUCGUUGAGGGUUUUGUUAGUUCUGCUGGUUAAGUCCAGGCCUCUUCCAAAUUAUUCAGGUGUUAUGACCUGGGGUAGAAUACCAAGUCGAUACACCAAGACAAACGGGCUAUUAGCUCAGGUGGUUAGAGCGCACCCCUGAUAAGGGUGAGGUCCCUGGUUCGAGUCCAGGAUGGCCCACUUUCAGACAGUGUGAAGUCAGGAGUUAUGAAGGAUGAAAAGGGUUACGGCUCACUUCAUCGUUGAUUGUUCCCACUUCCUCGUUUAGUUAGGGGGGUAUAGCUCAGCUGGUAGAGCGCCUGCUUUGCAAGCAGGAUGUCAGCGGUUCGAGUCCGCUUACCUCCACCACAUUUUACGAAGAAAGCAAUCUACGAUAAAAAUCAGCAACUAGGGAUGUAAACAUCUACGGAAGUAGAGUAUUGAACAUCAUAGAUUGCUGGUCUUUCGAGACUAGCGAGAACCUUGACAACUGCAUAGAAAACUAUAAGAAAGCAAAGGUAGUUCAAAGUCUGUUGCAGACA
rnacentral:misc_RNA from 1 species